rnacentral:rRNA from 1 species
UACGGAGGGUGCAAGCGUUGUUCGGAAUUACUGGGCGUAAAGCGCGUGUAGGCGGUUCGGUAAGUCGGUUGUGAAAGCCCCGAGCUCAACUCGGGAAUUGCGUCCGAAACUGCCGGACUGGAGUCCCGGAGAGGAAGGCAGAAUUCCCAAUGUAGGGGUGAAAUCCGUAGAUAUUGGGAGGAAUACCGGCUGCGAAGGCGGCCUUCUGGACGGUGACUGACGCUGAGACGCGAAAGCGUGGGGAGCAAACAGG